AUUGAACGCUGGCGGCAGGCCUAACACAUGCAAGUCGAGCGGAUGAAGAGAGCUUGCUCCUGGAUUCAGCGGCGGACGGGUGAGUAAUGCCUAGGAAUCUGCCUGGUAGUGGAGGAUGAGGUACCAAUCCGGGCCCUAUUAUCGCACACGACCUAUGGUAGAACGUGAGGGUUCUUCAGACAUCACCGUCUCUGCUGUGCCUAUGUCGGAUUAGCUAGUCGGUGGGGUAAAGGCCUACCAAGCCGACGUUCCGUAACCGGUCUAAGAGGAUGAUCAGUCACACUAGAACUGAGACACGGUCCAGACUCCUACGGGAGGCAGCAGUAGGGAAUAUUGGACAAUGGGCGAAAGCCUGAUGCAGCCAUGCCGCGUGUAUGAAGAAGGUCUUCGGAUUGUAAAGCACUUUUAGUAGGGAGGAAGACCUGUAAGUGAAAACCUUGCUGUUUUGACGGUACCAACCGAGUAAGCAACGGCUAACUACGUG
rnacentral:rRNA from 1 species